GCAUGUACAUUAUUAGACUGGGCAAUGGUAGAGGUCAUGAGAAAACCAUACAUAAAGAAGAAAGCUAAAACCGACUUUGCAGAUGUUAUUGGCAAAGGCAAGAUAAUCAAAGAAGCCGAUAUUGUUCGUCUCCCUUAUUUGCAGUGCAUAGUGAAAGAAACCUUGCGGAUGCAUCCUCCAGUACCCUUUUUGAUUCGCAAGGUUGAUCAAGACGUCGAGGCGUGCGGCUAUUUUGUCCUGGAAGACUCUCAGGUGUUAGUGAACGUAUGGUCAAUAGGCCGUGAUCCAGCUACAUGGGAGGAUCCUCUCACAUUUAAGCCUGAGAGAUUUUGGAAUUUGAAAAUGGAUGUUAGUGGCCAAAAUUUUGAACUCAUUCCAUUUGGUGCUGGUCGAAGA
rnacentral:misc_RNA from 1 species